rnacentral:rRNA from 1 species
CCUACGGGUGGCAGCAGUGAGGAAUAUUGGUCAAUGGCCGGAAGGCUGAACCAGCCAUGCCGCGUGAGGGUCAGUGCCCGAUGGGCGUUAAACUUCUUUUGUGCGGGAGCAAUAAUGGUCACGUGUGGCCAGACGAGAGUACCGUACGAAUAAGCAUCGGCUAACUCGGUGCCAGCAGCCGCGGUAAUACGGGGGAUGCAAGCGUUAUACGGAUGUAGUGGGUUUAAAGGGUGCGUAUGCUGUGAGGUAAGUCAGCAGUGAAAUGCCCACGCUGCACGGGGUGAAGUGCUAUUGAUACUGCCUUGCUGGCAUGCGGAUGCUGUGGGAGGAAUGUGUGGUGUAGCGGUGAAAUGCAGAGAUAUCACACAGAACACCGAUUGCGAAGGCAUCUCACGAAUCCGCGAUUGACGCUGAUGCACGAAAGCGUGGGUAUCAAACAGGAUUAGAUACCCCUGUAGUC